rnacentral:rRNA from 1 species
AAUCAACGCUGGCGGCGUGCCUAACACAUGCAAGUCGAACGCGAAAACCCCGCAAGGGGUGAGUAGAGUGGCAAACGGGUGAGUAACGCGUGGGUGACCUGCCUUCGAGCGGGGGAUAACGUUCCGAAAGGGACGCUAAUACCGCAUAACAUCCUGCCUUUGAACAGGUGGAGAUCAAAGCUGGGGAUUCGCAAGAACCCGGCACUUGAAGAGGGGCCCGCGUCUGAUUAGCUAGUUGGUGAGGUAACGGCUCACCAAGGCGACGAUCAGUAUCCGGCCUGAGAGGGCGGACGGACACACUGGGACUGAGACACGGCCCAGACUCCUACGGGAGGCAGCAGUGGGGAAUUGUUCGCAAUGGGCGCAAGCCCUGACGACGCAACGCCGCGUGGAGGAUGAAGAAUUUCGGAUCGUAAACUCCUGUCCAAUGGGA